rnacentral:lncRNA from 10 species
GCCCUGCCCUCUGGGGUCACUGCGUGGGUUAGGCCCCCAAAAAAGCCUAGGAAGGUCCUGUUUCCAGUCUGUAGGUGUUUUUUAAUUAUUUGUGUAUUUAUUUAUUUUUUGAGAUGGAGUCUCGCUCUGUCACCCAGGCUUGAGUGCAGUGGCGCGAUCUCGCUGCACUGCAAGCUCCUCCUCCCAGGUUGACGCCAUUCUCCUGCCUCAGCCUCCCCAGUAGCUGGGACUACAGGUGCCCGCCACCACGCCCGGCUAAUUUUUUUUGUAUUUUUAGUAGAGACGGGGUUUCACCGUGUUAGCCAGGAUGGUCUUGAUCUCCGACCUCGAGAUCUGCCCGCCUUGGCCUCCUA